CUCUAGGUAGCCGUCGUGCCCGGGGGGGCUCCGUGGAGCUUUUCACACCCGUGCCGUCGCCCGCCCUCACGCCGCCACGCAGGCCUCGCUUCCUGCCCCGUUCUGGAUGUUGAGACCCCGAGGCAUGGCGGCGCCGGCCGGUGCGGCGGGACGAAGCCCCGGCGGCGCAGGGUGCGAGAGGCGGCCCGAGCUGUCUGCUGGACCCGCCCGGCGGCACGCACGGCCAGCCUGAUGUUCUGCUGCAUGUGCAGCGCUCUGGACAUCGGGCUCUGGAAAUGGGACAAAACGAGGCCCCAUCGUGUAAAACACAGAAAAAAACACGAACAUAGUCUAAGCCACAAAAGUGACCAAACAUCUAUCUGUCUUGGCUACUAACAGCAACUGCUCCUGCUUUACCGGUUGCAAGGGCUGACACCCCUCUGUGUUCCUACGGCAGAACCCCUCUCUGGAGACAGCCUCUAAGAUCCCAUCUCCUAGCAGUCAGCUCUCGUGCUUCGAGUGUGGUCAGGGCCUGGGACUUGCUGUGGCCAAGGGUCUAGUGAGAGUGUCGGGAUGUUGGCAGGCAUGUUGUGAGUUGGCAGUACGGAGAGGACCACAGAAAGGAGCUGAGGGCUGCUUCCAGCGGACAUUGGGGAGGGCACUGAGGCCUUCGAUCCAAGAACCCACAAGGAAAUGAAUCCUGCCAACAGCCGGGUGAGCUCGGAAGUGGACCCUUCCCAGUCCAGCCUCAGAGGAAUCCUCAGGCCCGGCCAGCCCCUCGAUUGCAGCCUCGCAGGGGACUCUGUUGUGCCCGUCCUCCUGGCCUGUAGAAACCGGGGUAUAAUAGGUGGGUGUGGCUUGCUACGGUUUUGUGAUGCAGCAGUAGAUAACUCCUGCCCCUCCAUCACCAAGUCCUAUCAGUUUUAUACCGUGAUUUCGUUAGAAUCCACCCCAACCUCCACCCUCACCAAGUCUGUCACUGAAUUACAGCCCCGCUUCAGGCUCCCCUCGAGGCUUUUCCUCAGUCCCGAACACUUGUCUUUCUCAUGUGGGACCCUUGGCCUGGAAUGCGCUCUUUCCCCUUCUCCAGGGUGAACUGGGUUCAUUCCUCGGAUUGCAGCUGCGUCCUCGGUUCCUCAGGAAAACCUUUCCCGGGAGCCCAGGUGGACGCCCCCUCCUGCUGCCCCCGCAGAGCUUCCGUCGUGGCUGCCACCCUCCGGUUCCUUGUGUGAUUCUCUCAGUGAUGAUCGUAUCUCCCACCAGAGUGGGAGCAGGACGAGGCCUUUGCACAUUACUGCUGGUACCCCCGCCCCUGGCGCAUCGUGGGUGCUCACGUGUGUUGGCUGGCUGGCUGGAUCAGUGAGCGAGGGACUGUGUCCCUUGCUGAGGCUCAGAGUGCACGGCACGACCCUCGCUACCCCAGGAUCGUCAGGAAGGUUGGAGCCAAGAAUGGUGCCUCCUGUGGGCUUGCUCAGGACUCCCCAAAGUUCACUAUUUUGCUGUUAGAAAGAGAUGGAUUUCUGAUUAUGAGACUUUACACUGUCCAGAGAUGAUGAUGUCCCAGGACAUUAUCAGCAGCUUAUGUGGAAGAUGGAAUUUUCCAAUUUGCUGAAACAGUAUCUCCCAUCCCACUUGGUCUUCAAAAAUGUGUUCUUGCCACCCCCCCUCCCCUCCCCCCAUCAAGAGGUAGGCUCAGGGCCUCCACCCCCUGAACCUGGGCGAGCUGUGACCACGUCCACGGAUAGAGAAUGGAAGAUAAGCCAUUAUGUAAUUUCCAGGGCUGGGUCAUAAAAGUCCAUGCAGCUUCUGUCUGAUUCUCUGGAGGCAGCUGCUCAGGGGAAGUCAGUCACCAAGGAAGAAGUCCGGCUUUUCUGAGGCUGCCCUGCUGGAGAAGCUGUGUGUAGGCCCUGUAUUCAACAAUUCCAGGUGAGCUCCCAGCCAGCAGCCAGCACUGACUGCCAGCCUCGCAGAGUGAAUCAUCUCGGACAUCCAUCCCGGUAGAACCCCCAGAUGACCCCAGCCAGCAUCUGCGUAUGAGCUCAUGAGGGCCCCAAGCAAUGACUGCCAGCUAAGCCCGUUAUAAAUUCCUGACCAACAAAAUCACAAGCAAAAUAAAAAAAUGUUUUUAAGCUGCUAA